rnacentral:rRNA from 1 species
UACAGAGGUCUCAAGCGUUGUUCGGAUUCAUUGGGCGUAAAGGGUGUGUAGGUGGCGCCGUAAGUCGGGUGUGAAAUUUCGGAGCUUAACUCCGAAACUGCAUUCGAUACUGCGGUGCUUGAGGACUGGAGAGGAGACUGGAAUUUACGGUGUAGCGGUGAAAUGCGUAGAUAUCGUAAGGAAGACCAGUGGCGAAGGCGGGUCUCCUGGACAGUUCCUGACGCUGAGGCACGAAGGUCAGGGGAGCAAACGGG